rnacentral:tRNA from 1 species
GUCCUUGAGAUCCUGGAUAGCUCAGUUGGUUAGAGCAUGGUGCUGAUAAUGCCAAGGUUGCAAGUUCGAUCCCUGUAUGGGACA